GUGCUCAUUUUGCCAGCACAUAUACUAAAAUUGGAAUGAUACACAGAAGCUUAGCAUAGACCAUGUACAAGGAUGAUGUGUAAAUUCAUGAAGAGUUCCAUAUUUUU
ensembl:snRNA U6 U6 spliceosomal RNA